AAUAUCAGAAAAAUUCUGAUAUUUCAUUAAGGACGAAAGUUUUGAGUUUUUGCGGAACAGUCCCCCAGAACUCUCUGUUCUCUCUCUUCGGUUUCUCUUCAGAACCCUCGGGUUCCGACCGACCCGACCCAGAUCCAUCUCCCUCCUCCGACGUCCUCCGGCCACGACCCGGCCCUCUCCGUGAUCGCCGUGCUCCGCCAAGUCGCCCUCUGCCAUCGAUUUGCUCCGCCGCUGCCCCGAAAGCUGGAUCGAAGGAGCCACAGUUCCGAUCGGUGACCCGGCCGGACUUCCCGUUUUCCGGCAUCUCCUCGGCCGAUCCUUCCCAUUUUCGUGAUCUCCUCUUCAUGCUGAUCAUCCCUAUGUACUUGACGGUUUGAGUUGACGAGCGUUUGGAAUAUCGUUAUAAUUGACUUUUUGGAAGACGCAGCUGGAUUAGAGCGGGUAGUGUCACAGGUCAGGAGAUUCAGAGCAGUGAUCGUGCGGUUUAGAGAAUUAGUAUUAGAUUUAUAACAUUUGUUUUGUGAGGAGAAUUAUACUCUUUGACUUUUAUAAUUUGUUUUAGUGAGAGUGUGCUGUAAUAAGUAGCUUGAGGAUUUGGUUUAUGUAAUAUCAAGAGGUGUAAUUAGUGGUUGUUUCUGAGAGAAAAAAAAAUUCAGAAUGUA